rfam:Clostridium carboxidivorans P7 ctg00168, whole genome shotgun sequence.
GGGAGUAGAUAGGUUCUGGUGUUCCUGACGGUCUUCAAAACCGUUCUGCCGUGCUAAGACCACGACGGGUGGGUUCGAUUCCCACAUAUUCCC